rnacentral:lncRNA from 1 species
GCACCUGUCGUUCCUUUUUUUUGUUUUAUUUAAUAAGUUUUAUAGUAUAUGAUGGUCACCUUAUUAAUAAUGUACCAUUUUGUGUGAUUACAAUUACACUACACACACUUAGUCGAAGUGACCAGUUAUUAGUGUUGAUAUUAAUGGGAUAAAUAUUAGAUAAGUUUAUUGGAGUUUGCUAUAAAAUAUGUGACUAUAAUUAUAAAUUGUGAGUGUGAAGAAGGGUUUAUAAGUUGUAUAUAUGUCAAUUAGAGGAACAAAUAAUUUGCUAACCACACCCUAGUCCUUCAAUGGAAAACGCAUCGAAAUGCGCAGCGGCGAAUGCAUUCGGCGGGAGAAUAAUGCGGCGACACGCGUAGAAUACUCGUACGCCACUCUCGGGCACGUACGUUUCCAUUUACUAAAGUUAGGUGGGUUUGUUUGGGUGGCGUGGGACCCAGAGGGCAUCGGCAGGCGGUCGCGUCCGGCGGUUGCCGUGCGAGAAAUUGGGAGGACGGGCUUUCACGUUGCAGAAACUAAGGAACGGCAUCUUCCGGCGGAACCACAGCCCGCGAUUAAAGGAACGCUCGGGUUUGACGCCCACGGACCGAGCGCGCGGCUCCUCCGCCGUAACAAGAGUAGUCGAUUGAAGUCCCCUCUUUUGCCUGGGUGGAUGUGUCUGUGCUAACCGUUUUAGGCAAGUGAAUGUUUGGUACAGCAGAUUUGGGGAUUCAUUGUAGGGUAGACUUGCCAUACAGUGCAGUGUUUUAAUUGGUAUUAUAUUGCGGCGAUCGGCGAGCACGGAGACCGAAGCCUCACUCGACCGUGUCUCGGGAGGCGUGGGGUUUGGUCCGAGGCCACUCGCAGUCAUCGUCGAGGGUAUAGUCCGGAACGCCGUUCGACGCGACGUCUCGUCGAAAUUCCGGAGCGGUCUUCUCGUCGCGGGGCGCGCCGGAGGUCGACGCUACGACGUUCCCGGAGGGGUCGUCGUCGUCGUCGUCGGGUAUUUGACGUGCAUCCGGAGUAGAACGAGGGCACGCGUCGAACCGUCGAAAGUGCGCAAGAAAUGAGAUCGCGUAAAUAACGGCAGAUUAAUUUCGUCGACACUCGUACGUAUAAGAGUGCAAAGUAAAUAAAUAAUACGUAUUUUUUUUAUGGGAAUUAGCCCACCCGGGCACGGGUCACCGACCCACAUCGGGGCGAAAAUGUAAUAAUAAUAAUAAUUGUUGAAGUUACAGUGUUCAUUUUUGGUGGAUAUCAACGAAAUAUGAUGCGAGAGGCUCAGACGACGACACAAACGACGACGCUCUCUCCGGUAUAUUUUCGGGACCGUCCGUAAAAACGAAACCAAAACACGCGUGCGCAUUCAAAGUGGCGCAUUAUUGCACAAGUAAAAUAAAACAUAUUGCCAUAAAUAUGGGGUAACCUAGUUUAUAUGUAACAAUAAUACUGAAGAACCUUAAAGAAAUACAAAAUGGAAAAAAAAAUCAAAAGUGAGGAACAAUAGAUUUAUGUUGUGUUGUAAGAGAAACAAUCGAGACAGAGAGUCAGACGAGCGACCCGGGACUCGGUCACAAUUUUAGGGAUGCCACGUAGCAGGAAGAUCUACCACGGACGACACAUUACGCUUCCAAUAUUGUCUGCGGAGGUGGUAUCUCCCCGUUUGGUGGCUGCCUAAGUAUGUAAGAUUUUCCAAUGGAAAGUGUAUGUUUGGCAAAUGUAUCCAGGUCUUUAGAGAAUGUACUCAGAUAUUUGGGUUAGGUGUCAAGGGUUCAUGUAUAAUUUGCAUGCCUAAUUGACUAUGUAUAUUUUUUAACCUUAAUUUUUCAUUUGCAGUCACCCGACGGGAGUCAGAAACGUCAUUUUUGUGCGGACCGGCGACUCGACGGACCCCGGCCGAGGACGCCGCUCGAACCGCGGUUGCGGAGGAGCGCGCCGAUACGAGUCGGAGACGGCUCGUACAGUCGGCGCACGAGAGCGGUCCGGACGAAGACAUUCGGGAACCGAGGACGAAGACGCUCGUCGACUGCGGACGAAGACGCUCGUCGACUGCGGACGAAGACACCGGUCGACGCGCGAGGAAGAUGCUCCGGAACACGGGAAGAACGCCACACUCCCGAGUGCGGGAAGACACUCGUCAACGCAGAAGGAGACACGCAUCAAUGUCGGGCCGGCGCGAUUGUUUUAAAGACGAUUUAACGUGUAAAAUGAAUGUACGUGUUGUUUGUAGUAUUGUUUUUAGAGACCGACUCUGCGAAGACGGAGGAAGUCGAUACAUGUCGAGAAUGAAUUUAUUGAAGAUGUUGCCUGUGAUCACUAGGUGUUUGCACUAAUUUGGGGAGAUGAUUACGAUCGUAGAACGUCACGGAAUGCGGCGCGCACGUCAUUUGUGGCGGGACGCAUCCGUAAAUAACGGCAGC